GAACUCAAGGCGGGCUCGAAUGAGCUGAAUGGGGC
rnacentral:tRNA from 1 species